rnacentral:rRNA from 1 species
CCCUGGGGAUAACAGGCUUAUCUCCCCCAAGAGUCCACAUCGACGGGGAGGUUUGGCACCUCGAUGUCGGCUCAUCGCAUCCUGGGGCUGUAGUCGGUCCCAAGGGUUGGGCUGUUCGCCCAUUAAAGCGGUACGCGAGCUGGGUUCAGAACGUCGUGAGACAGUUCGGUCCCUAUCCGUCGCGGGCGUAGGAAAUUUGAGAGGAUCUGUCCUUAGUACGAGAGGACCGGGAUGGACAUACCGCUGGUGUACCAGUUGUUCUGCCAAGGGCAUCGCUGGGUAGYUAUGUAUGGAUGAGAUAAACGCUGAAAGCAUCUAAGUGCGAAACUCACCUCGAGAUAAGAUUUCCCAUUCCUUUAUGGAAGUAAGACCCCUGAGAGAUGAUCAGGUAGAUAGGAUGGAAGUGGAAGUACGGUGACGUAUGGAGCGGACCAUUACUAAUCGGUCGAGGACUUAACCAAG